GACUUUGGCCUUCCAUGGUGUAAUUUAGGUUUUUGUACACAACUGAAGAUAAAAUAAACUGAGUUCUGUAGGUAUACCAGGUUUAAAUUCGUUGUAAGGACACAUGGCGGAGUCAAGAAACAAAAGAAAGAAGACAACUUCACAGCACGACGACCCAAACUGAACCCAACUUGGCAGAAGAAAACGUCAAGCAACAAUAUCGUGAGGUGACACUAAGCAAAAAAAUGAAACUCUAUACCUUAGGAUAAGACAGAACAUCAAAAAGAGGACAUCAACAGGCCGACAGCUGAAAAAACAUGAGCAGGAUUUAUUGAUAAAAAACUGACAAAUAGAGUAUAUUACUGACAAACAUCAGGAAACAGACGGCUGACAUGCAGAGUCAGAAGACGGCUAUUGAAAAGCAAAGAGAAGAGUUGGACAACCUGCUCAACAUGAUCAAGAAAGAAGUGAGAGAGUUGGAAGUAAUAAAUACUGAGACUGAGAUAAAGAAAAAACACCUGGUGAAAAUAAUAAGAAUGAGCAGAAGAAAAGAGAUGAAGACAAAUACUAAGGCUGCUAAGCAAAGUAUGGAAGAGGGAACAGAGCAGAAACCAGAGGUGGAAAUACAGGGCAGGAUUAAUAGGCAAAGGCCAAGUCAUGGGGAGUUUCACGGAACCAAAGAAAUAACUCAACCUAUCUCAGCAGAAGACAAUAUAGAGAUGCAGAGAAUGAUUUUGGAAAUAGAAGAGAUCAGAAGGAUGCUGCACAAGUUUAAAGAAGAUACAACUCUAAGCACUAGAAAGGAGACAACACAAAUGAAAUGGCUGAAUUUUCAUUUUAAAAAAGGGAAACAGAAGUUGGAGCAGUUCAUGGAGAAGACUACAAAAGAGAGAGAUGAGCUAGAAAUCAUAAAGAAAAGAACACAACAACAAAGGAAGGAGCUUGAACAGAAAUUGGAAGAUACUUUUAAAAGAAUUCUGACUAUAAGUGAGUUAACACAAAUGAGAAAGUUUGCUACAGAGAUAAACAACACCCGAGAAGAACUCCUAAAAACAAAAAAUGAAACACAAAACUACAAGGAAGAAGUCAAAAAAUACACAGACAAGCUGACAUCCAUGAAAACGCAGGUCAGCAGAUGGAUAUUGACAGAAUCUGCAAACAAGCCACUCUGUUUUUACCUGCAGAAACCAUCAAAAGAGAAAGACAUAAACUCUCUCAUAGUGGAAGACCAAUAUCAAAGUGAAGAAACAAUAGAAGAAUGGAACACGCAAUCAAACUACAAGCAAGAUUUUGGAGUGGACUUUAAGGAAGAGCAGAAUUUGUUUUUACAAAUGCACAAAGACAUUCACGAAGAAUCACUGAUAGAUGAUAAAGUAAUAAUGCAUAAAACAGAAAAGGAACAAGUUAAAAAUCAACUCCUAAAAUUCAAGAACCAAAAGGAGGAAAUCAAAAAGGAAAUUAAGAACAGUAUGAAAAGCAUGAAGGGGAAACAUCAAGAAAUUGAUCAGCUCAUUAAAGAAAUAAAAGACUUUCAGAGACCAGAGAUAGAAACUGGGUUACAAACUGCAGGUAGGGAAAUAAAUAAUAUCGGCAUAGGGAAAGCUAGACUAAGAGGAAAAAUAGACAGUGACAUUUGGAGAGUAAAAAACAAUAUUUAUAAAGAACAAAUUAAAUAUGAACUCCAAAUGCAAGAAAGGGAUAAUGACAGUAAGGUGAAACAAGAAAAGAAACAUGAUUCUGAAUUGAUGACAGUGGAUGAUUAUAAAAAAAUAAUUCUUGAAUCAAAGGAGUUCCAUCCUGAGGUGACAGAUGGUUAUUCCAACAAAAAAGACACAGGAAUGGACACAGCUAGUCUACAAACACUCAGGACAGAAGUUUAUAAAACACAAAAAAUCAUGAGAUCUGUAAUUCUAAAACUUGACACCCAAAAAAGUGAAAAUGUUGGAAAAGAUUAUAAUCAACCUCAAGAUGGUGAAAUUGAGGGAUUGUUAGAGGAUGUUAAAAAGUUCCAAGAUAUUUUAAAAAUGGUGACAACUGAAGUGGUAAAAAAUGAGAUCUCUUUGAGAAACGAAAGGAGCAACAUAAAAUUUGAAGCAAAAAGACUCAAAAGAGACCUGGCUCAGAAGUUGGAGAAAAUUCUGUGUGAAAAAGAUGAAUUAGAUAUUUUUAAAAUGCAAAUAAAGAAACGAGCAGAAGCAAUUCAACAGAAGAUGGAGAAAAUGAACAAGGUUAAGAGUGCUGUGGAGGAAAUGGCUGUUAAGUCUAAAAUUAAGCAGGAAGACAUGAAGAUUAUUUUUAGGAAUACCCAAGAAAAGCUGAGACACUUAGAGGGGUGUAAUGAAAAGACUGAUGAUGCAAUACAACACCUACAAAACAGUUUUAUUUUAAUAACUAAAAGAAAAGUUCAAUUAGAAGAAACCUUAAGACUCAAAAAACAACAGGUCCAGGUGGAGGUAUACAAAGUAAAAAGUUUGAGGAACAAUAUCAAAAGUGAGACUAAGAAGCCUGGUGACAGAGUACAACCAAUAAAAAGAAAAAUAGGUCCAGAAAUAGACCUGUUGAAAUCAGAGUUUGGAAUAAAGAGACAAAAAUGCGGAAAGACAAAAGAAAAGAAAUUACUCAGGAAAGUGACCAGAAGGAAAAGAGGAUUAGAUUCAACCUUGAGACAACCAGGUAAAUUAGAACAACUAAAACCUGAGGAUCAGUGUAUUAAACAUCAAAUGAGUGAUAUCCAAUUAUUCAAACAGCAUACAUGGCUGGAAAAGCGUCAGAUAAUAAAGAUGAAUACAACUCCUGAUGAUUCAAAAGUUAUAUCUUCUGUUUUUGACCUUGAAAUCAUUAGACAAAAAAUUCAUUCAAAUUUGGAGGUAAUAAAAAAGAACACUGGACUACUAGCUGAUGUAAAUAUCCAUUUAGAAAAACAAAGAGAAUGUCUCCAAAACUUAAAAGAUCACAGUAAGGCCAUAAUAAAAUGCAUGAUAAGGAACAAAGAAACUGUUAGGGUCAAAGCAGAAAAGAAUGAGGAAGACAACCGCCAAAAAGAAAAACAAAAACUUGAAAACACACUUGAGGCAAUACGAAGAGAAAAAAAAGAGAUGGAAGUGCUGAAGGCUGAGCUGGACUUCACAAAAAAAGAAAAUCAACAAAUGAUGAGACGAGGUAUUCGAAAAGACCAUGAGGUGAAAAUGAUGUGGGCUGAGAUUAAAGAAGAAAAAGAUGCUCGCAAGAGAAAACAAAGAAGAAACAAAGAGCUUGAUGAAAAGCUAGAGAGGAUGACCAAAAAAAAAGAAGAACUGAAAAUCAUGAAGCUUAAAAUGGAAAGAGGAAAAGAUGACACAACAGGUGGAACAAGACUGUCAAGGAUAUCAAUCACUGCAAAUGUUCCAAUGCAACUUUCAUGUACGUGGGUACUUUUUUCUAAAUGGACAGAAAAGUGUAACCAAAUGAAAAGACAGAUUUCUGAUUUCUACAAGACCAAAAAUAAUGAAAAUGCUUGCAUUAAACAUGAAACAAAAAUAACAUUGCAGGCAAAAGAAGACAUUAAAAACAUCAAGGAACAAAUUACCAAACAAAAAGAAUGUAUUCAAGGUGCUUUAAAAAGUGUGAAAAAAAGGGAACAAUGUUUGAUACAUUCAGAAACAGAAAAACUGCUAAGAAACAAAAACCUUCUAGAGGUUCUAAAAGAAAAACUUCAGCAUUUGAGUGAAAGGAUGACUGGUGCCAUUGCAGACAAACUUAGGAGGCUACAAAAGGACAAUGGAAAUGUAGUGAAGCUGGUCAGUCAUUUAGAACAAGAGCAUAUCUCUCUAGAUUCCCUGAAAACACAUAUGCUUUUCUACUCUGAAAUACUGCAGAAGGCAAAAGAAGGAUACAUAUGCCUGAUAACAGACUUUGCCAGGCAACAAGAAGAAACAAGAGAUCAACUGAUGCACCAGCUUGUAUUGGAAAAGCAAGAAAGGGAAACUCUGAAAAACUGGCUGAAGAAAGACAGAGACAAUCUGGAAAGAGAGAAAAAUGGCAUGAAUCAAGAAAAAGAAAACUUGUUGCAGAAACAACAAGAGUGUGAAACCCUAAAAGACGAGCUGAAGAAAGACAGAGACAAUCUGGAAAGGGAAAAAAAUAGCAUCCAUCUAGAAAAAAGGAACUUGAUGCAGAAACAACAAGUGUAUAAAACCCUGAAAGAUGAGCUGAAAAAAGACAGAGACAGUCUGGAAAGAGAGAAAAAUAGCAUACAUCAAGAAAAAGAGAACUUGUUGCAGAAACAACAAGAGUAUGAAACCCUAAAAGACGAGCUGAAGAAAGACAAAGGGAAUGUGGAAAGAGAUAAAAAUGGCAUGAAUCAGGUAAAAGAUUACUUGACGCAGACAAUGUUUGACAUCCAGCAGCAAAUGCAAGUUUUGGAGCAAAAGUUAAGACAUAAAAAGGACAGUCUGCAAAUCACAGCAAGUCGACUAGAAAAGACAAGAACACAUGCUGACAUCCUGUGUGUUGAGGUUAACAAAGACAAAGCAAAAAAUCUGUCCCUUCAGCUUCACAAAAACAGAGACCUACUUGAGAGAGCAAAGAACACAAUUGUCAUAAAGCAAAAAGAACAACAACUGAUGGAAGAGGACAUCAAGAGACAAAUCAAAGAACUACAGUCAAGCCGGUAUGACUUGCAGAGCCAAAGACAAGAACUGGGACUUUUAAGGCAAGAUCUCAACAAUGAGAUAGAAGAGGACAUCAAGAGACAAAUCAAAGAACUACAGUCAAGCCGGUAUGACUUGCAGAGCCAAAGACAAGAACUGGGACUUUUAAGGCAAGAUCUCAACAAUGAGAUAGAAGAGGUCCGGGUCGCAAAGGAGACCAUGAAGGUAAAAAGAGACCAAAUAGGUCAUAUGCAGACUGUUCCUGACACAGAGAGAGAAAUACUUUGGAACCAGAAAGAUACAAUGGAAAAACAAAGAUUGACUCUACAUAGAAAAGCUGAUCAAAUGACAGAAUCUGAAAAGCAUCUAGGGGAUCUAAGAGAAAAAAUUAAGCAUGUGAGUGAGAGAAUGACUGGUGAUAUUGCAGAUAAACUUAGCAGGCUCCAACAGGACAAUGGAAAAGUAGUGAAGCUGGUCAGUCGUUUGGAACAAGAGCAUAUCUCUCUAGAUUCCCUGAAAACACAUAUGCUUUUCUACUCUGAAAUACUGCAGAAGGCAAAGGAAGGAUACAUAUGCCUGAUAACAGACUUUGCCAGGCAACAAGAAGAAAUAAGAGAUCAACUGAUGCACCAGCUUGUAUUGGAAAAGCAAGAAAGGGAAACUCUGAAAAACUGGCUGAAGAAAGACAGAGACAAUCUGGAAAGAGAGAAAAAUGGCAUGAAUCAAGUAAAAGAAAACUUGUUGCAGAAACAACAAGAGUGUGAAACCCUAAAAGACGAGCUGAAGAAAGACAGAGACAAUCUGGAAAGGGAGAAAAAUAGCAUUCAUCUAGAAACAAGGAACUUGAUGCAGAAACAACAAGAGUAUGAAACCCUAAAAGACGAGCUGAAAAAAGACAGAGACAGUCUGGAAAGAGAGAAAAAUGGCAUGAAUCAAACGAAAGAGGACUUGAUGCAGAAACAACAAGAAUAUGAAAUCCUGAAAGACGAGCUGAAGAAAGACAAAGGGAAUGUGGAAAGAGAUAAAAAUGGCAUGAAUCAAGUAAAAGAUUACUUGAAGCAGAAAAUGUCCGACAUCCAGCAGCAAAUGCAAGUGUUGGAGCAAAAGUUAAGAGAUGAAAAGGAUAGUCUGCGAAUCACAGCAAGUCGACUAGAAAAGACAAGAACACAUGCUGACAUCCUGUUUGUUGAGGUUAACAAAGAUAAAGCAAAACAUCUGUCCCUUCAGCGUCACACAACCAGAGACCUACUUGAGAGAGCAAAGAACACAAUUGUCAUAAAGCAAAAAGAACAACAACUGAUGGAAGAGGACAUCAAGAGACAAAUCAAAGAACUACAGUCAAGCCGGUAUGACUUGCAGAGCCAAAGACAAGAACUGGGACUUUUAAGGCAAGAUCUCAACAAUGAGAUAGAAGAGGUCCGGGUCGCAAAGGAGACCAUGAAGGUAAAAAGAGACCAAAUAGGUCAUAUGCAGACUGUUCCUGACACAGAGAGAGAAAUACUUUGGAACCAGAAAGAUACAAUGGAAAAACAAAGAUUGACUCUACAUAGAAAAGCUGAUCAAAUGACAGAAUCUGAAAAGCAUCUAGGGGAUCUAAGAGAAAAAAUUAAGCAUGUGAGUGAGAGAAUGACUGGUGAUAUUGCAGAUAAACUUAGCAGGCUCCAACAGGACAAUGGAAAAGUAGUGAAGCUGGUCAGUCGUUUGGAACAAGAGCAUAUCUCUCUAGAUUCCCUGAAAACACAUAUGCUUUUCUACUCUGAAAUACUGCAGAAGGCAAAGGAAGGAUACAUAUGCCUGAUAACAGACUUUGCCAGGCAACAAGAAGAAAUAAGAGAUCAACUGAUGCACCAGCUUGUAUUGGAAAAGCAAGAAAGGGAAACUCUGAAAAACUGGCUGAAGAAAGACAGAGACAAUCUGGAAAGAGAGAAAAAUGGCAUGAAUCAAGUAAAAGAAAACUUGUUGCAGAAACAACAAGAGUGUGAAACCCUAAAAGACGAGCUGAAGAAAGACAGAGACAAUCUGGAAAGGGAGAAAAAUAGCAUCCAUCUAGAAAAAAGGAACUUGAUGCAGAAACAACAAGAGUAUGAAACCCUAAAAGACGAGCUGAAAAAAGACAGAGACAGUCUGGAAAGAGAGAAAAAUGGCAUGAAUCAAACGAAAGAGGACUUGAUGCAGAAACAACAAGAAUAUGAAAUCCUGAAAGACGAGCUGAAGAAAGACAAAGGGAAUGUGGAAAGAGAUAAAAAUGGCAUGAAUCAAGUAAAAGAUUACUUGAAGCAGAAAAUGUCCGACAUCCAGCAGCAAAUGCAAGUGUUGGAGCAAAAGUUAAGAGAUGAAAAGGAUAGUCUGCGAAUCACAGCAAGUCGACUAGAAAAGACAAGAACACAUGCUGACAUCCUGUCUGUUGAGGUUAACAAAGAUAAAGCAAAACAUCUGUCCCUUCAGCGUCACACAACCAGAGACCUACUUGAGAGAGCAAAGAACACAAUUGUCAUAAAGCAAAAAGAACAACAACUGAUGGAAGAGGACAUCAAGAGACAAAUCAAAGAACUACAGUCAAGCCGGUAUGACUUGCAGAGCCAAAGACAAGAACUGGGACUUUUAAUGCAAGAUCUCAACACUGAGAUAGAAGAGGACAUCAAGAGACAAAUCAAAGAACUACAGUCAAGCCGGUAUGACUUGCAGAGCCAAAGACAAGAACUGGGACUUUUAAUGCAAGAUCUCAACACUGAGAUAGAAGAGGUCCGGGUCGCAAAGGAGACCAUGAAGGUAAAAAGAGACCAAAUAGGUCAUAUGCAGACUGUUCCUGACACAGAGAGAGAAAUACUUUGGAACCAGAAAGAUACAAUGGAAAAACAAAGAUUGACUCUACAUAGAAAAGCUGAUCAAAUGACAGAAUCUGAAAAGCAUCUAGGGGAUCUGAGAGAAAAAAUUAAGCAUGUGAGUGAGAGAAUGACUGGUGAUAUUGCAGAUAAACUUAGCAGGCUCCAACAGGACAAUGGAAAAGUAGUGAAGCUGGUCAGUCGUUUGGAACAAGAGCAUAUCUCUCUAGAUUCCCUGAAAACACAUAUGCUUUUCUACUCUGAAAUACUGCAGAAGGCAAAGGAAGGAUACAUAUGCCUGAUAACAGACUUUGCCAGGCAACAAGAAGAAAUAAGAGAUCAACUGAUGCACCAGCUUGUAUUGGAAAAGCAAGAAAGGGAAACUCUGAAAAACUGGCUGAAGAAAGACAGAGACAAUCUGGAAAGAGAGAAAAAUGGCAUGAAUCAAGAAAAAGAAAACUUGUUGCAGAAACAACAAGAGUGUGAAACCCUAAAAGACGAGCUGAAGAAAGACAGAGACAAUCUGGAAAGGGAGAAAAAUAGCAUCCAUCUAGAAAAAAGGAACUUGAUGCAGAAACAACAAGAGUAUGAAACCCUAAAAGACGAGCUGAAGAAAGACAAAGGGAAUGUGGAAAGAGAUAAAAAUGGCAUGAAUCAAGUAAAAGAUUACUUGACGCAGAAAAUGUCCGACAUCCAGCAGCAAAUGCAAGUGUUGAAGCAAAGGUUAAGAGAUGAAAAGGACAGUCUGCAAAUCACAGCAAGUCGACUAGAAAAGACAAGAACACAUGCUGACAUCCUGUGUGUUGAGGUUAACAAAGACAAAGCAAAAAAUCUGUCCCUUCAGCUUCACAAAACCAGAGACCUACUUGAGAAAGCUAAGAACACAAUUGUCAUAAAGCAAAAAGAACAACAACUGAUGGAAGAGGACAUCAAGAGACAAAUCAAAGAACUACAGUCAAGCCGGUAUGACUUGCAGAGACAAAGACAAGAACUGGGACUUUUAAGGCAAGAUCUCAACAAUGAGAUAGAAGAGGUCCGGGCUGCAAAGGAGACCAUGAAGGUGAAAAGUGAUCAAAUAAGUCACAUGCAGACUGUCCUUGACACAGAGAGAGAAAUGCUUUGGAACCAGAAAGAUACAAUGGAAGAACAAAUAUUGAAUCUACAUAGGAGAGCUGAUCAAAUUAUGGAAUGUGAAAAGCAUCUACGGGUUCUGAAUGAAAAAAUUAAGCAUUUGAGUGAGAGGAUGACUGGUGCCAUUGCAGAUAAACUUAGCAGGCUCCAAAACGACAAUGGAAAUGUAGUGAAGAUGGUCAGUCAUUUGCAACAAGAGCAUAUCUCUCUAGAUUCCCUGAAAACACAUAUGCUUUUCUACUCUGAAAUACUGCAGAAGGCAAAGGAAGGAUACAUAUGCCUGAUAACAGACUUUGCCAGGCAACAAGAAGAAAUAAGAGAUCAACUGAUGCACCAGCUUGUAUUGGAAAAGCAAGAAAGGGAAACUCUGAAAAACUGGCUGAAGAAAGACAGAGACAAUCUGGAAAGAGAGAAAAAUGGCAUGAAUCAAGAAAAAGAAAACUUGUUGCAGAAACAACAAGAGUGUGAAACCCUAAAAGACGAGCUGAAGAAAGACAGAGACAAUCUGGAAAGGGAGAAAAAUAGCAUCCAUCUAGAAAGAAGGAACUUGAUGCAGAAACAACAAGAGUAUGAAACCCUAAAAGACGAGCUGAAAAAAGACAGAGACAGUCUGGAAAGAGAGAGAAAUGGCAUGAAUCAAAUGAAAGAGGGCUUGAUGCAGAAACAACAAGAAUAUGAAAUCCUGAAAGACGAGCUGAAGAAAGACAAAGGGAAUGUGGAAAGAGAUAAAAAUGGCAUGAAUCAAGUAAAAGAUUACUUGAAGCAGAAAAUGUCCGACAUCCAGCAGCAAAUGCAAGUGUUGGAGCAAAAGUUAAGAGAUGAAAAGGAUAGUCUGCGAAUCACAGCAAGUCGACUAGAAAAGACAAGAACACAUGCUGACAUCCUGUUUGUUGAGGUUAACAAAGAUAAAGCAAAACAUCUGUCCCUUCAGCUUCACACAACCAGAGACCUACUUGAGAGAGCAAAGAACACAAUUGUCAUAAAGCAAAAAGAACAACAACUGAUGGAAGAGGACAUCAAGAGACAAAUCAAAGAACUGCAGUCAAGCCGGUAUGACUUGCAGAGCCAAAGACAAGAACUGGGACUUUUAAGGCAAGAUCUCAACAAUGAGAUAGAAGAGGUCCGGGCUGCAAAGGAGACCAUGAAGGUGAAAAGUGAUCAAAUAAGUCACAUGCAGACUGUCCUUGACACAGAGAGAGAAAUGCUUUGGAACCAGAAAGAUACAAUGGAAGAACAAAUAUUGAAUCUACAUAGGAGAGCUGAUCAAAUUAUGGAAUGCGAAAAGCAUCUACGGGUUCUGAGUGAAAAAAUUAAGCAUGUGAGUGAGAGGAUGACUGGUGCCAUUGCAGAUAAACUUAGCAGGCUCCAAAGCGACAAUGGAAAUGUAGUGAAGAUGGUCAGUCAUUUGGAACAAGAGCAUAUCUCUCUAGAUUCCCUGAAAACACAUAUGCUUUUCUACUCUGAAAUACUGCAGAAGGCAAAGGAAGGAUACAUAUGCCUGAUAACAGACUUUGCCAGGCAACAAGAAGAAAUAAGAGAUCAACUGAUGCACCAGCUUGUAUUGGAAAAGCAAGAAAGGGAAACUCUGAAAAACUGGCUGAAGAAAGACAGAGACAAUCUGGAAAGAGAGAAAAAUGGCAUGAAUCAAGAAAAAGAAAACCUGUUGCAGAAACGACAAGAGUGUGAAACCCUAAAAGACGAGCUGAAGAAAGACAGAGACAAUCUGGAAAGGGAGAAAAAUAGCAUCCAUCUAGAAAAAAGGAACUUGAUGCAGAAACAACAAGAGUAUGAAACCCUAAAAGACGAGCUGAAAAAAGACAGAGACAGUCUGGAAAGAGAGAGAAAUGGCAUGAAUCAAAUGAAAGAGGGCUUGAUGCAGAAACAACAAGAAUAUGAAAUCCUGAAAGACGAGCUGAAGAAAGACAAAGGGAAUGUGGAAAGAGAUAAAAAUGGCAUGAAUCAAGUAAAAGAUUACUUGAAGCAGAAAAUGUCCGACAUCCAGCAGCAAAUGCAAGUGUUGGAGCAAAAGUUAAGAGAUGAAAAGGAUAGUCUGCGAAUCACAGCAAGUCGACUAGAAAAGACAAGAACACAUGCUGACAUCCUGUUUGUUGAGGUUAACAAAGAUAAAGCAAAACAUCUGUCCCUUCAGCUUCACACAACCAGAGACCUACUUGAGAGAGCAAAGAACACAAUUGUCAUAAAGCAAAAAGAACAACAACUGAUGGAAGAGGACAUCAAGAGACAAAUCAAAGAACUGCAGUCAAGCCGGUAUGACUUGCAGAGCCAAAGACAAGAACUGGGACUUUUAAGGCAAGAUCUCAACAAUGAGAUAGAAGAGGUCCGGGCUGCAAAGGAGACCAUGAAGGUGAAAAGUGAUCAAAUAAGUCACAUGCAGACUGUCCUUGACACAGAGAGAGAAAUGCUUUGGAACCAGAAAGAUACAAUGGAAGAACAAAUAUUGAAUCUACAUAGGAGAGCUGAUCAAAUUAUGGAAUGCGAAAAGCAUCUACGGGUUCUGAGUGAAAAAAUUAAGCAUGUGAGUGAGAGGAUGACUGGUGCCAUUGCAGAUAAACUUAGCAGGCUCCAAAGCGACAAUGGAAAUGUAGUGAAGAUGGUCAGUCAUUUGGAACAAGAGCAUAUCUCUCUAGAUUCCCUGAAAACACAUAUGCUUUUCUACUCUGAAAUACUGCAGAAGGCAAAGGAAGGAUACAUAUGCCUGAUAACAGACUUUGCCAGGCAACAAGAAGAAAUAAGAGAUCAACUGAUGCACCAGCUUGUAUUGGAAAAGCAAGAAAGGGAAACUCUGAAAAACUGGCUGAAGAAAGACAGAGACAAUCUGGAAAGAGAGAAAAAUGGCAUGAAUCAAGAAAAAGAAAACUUGUUGCAGAAACAACAAGAGUGUGAAACCCUAAAAGACGAGCUGAAGAAAGACAGAGACAAUCUGGAAAGGGAGAAAAAUAGCAUCCAUCUAGAAAAAAGGAACUUGAUGCAGAAACAACAAGAGUAUGAAACCCUAAAAGACGAGCUGAAAAAAGACAGAGACAGUCUGGAAAGAGAGAGAAAUGGCAUGAAUCAAAUGAAAGAGGGCUUGAUGCAGAAACAACAAGAAUAUGAAAUCCUGAAAGACGAGCUGAAGAAAGACAAAGGGAAUGUGGAAAGAGAUAAAAAUGGCAUGAAUCAAGUAAAAGAUUACUUGAAGCAGAAAAUGUCCGACAUCCAGCAGCAAAUGCAAGUGUUGGAGCAAAAGUUAAGAGAUGAAAAGGAUAGUCUGCGAAUCACAGCAAGUCGACUAGAAAAGACAAGAACACAUGCUGACAUCCUGUUUGUUGAGGUUAACAAAGAUAAAGCAAAACAUCUGUCCCUUCAGCUUCACACAACCAGAGACCUACUUGAGAGAGCAAAGAACACAAUUGUCAUAAAGCAAAAAGAACAACAACUGAUGGAAGAGGACAUCAAGAGACAAAUCAAAGAACUGCAGUCAAGCCGGUAUGACUUGCAGAGCCAAAGACAAGAACUGGGACUUUUAAGGCAAGAUCUCAACAAUGAGAUAGAAGAGGUCCGGGCUGCAAAGGAGACCAUGAAGGUGAAAAGUGAUCAAAUAAGUCACAUGCAGACUGUCCUUGACACAGAGAGAGAAAUGCUUUGGAACCAGAAAGAUACAAUGGAAGAACAAAUAUUAAAUCUACAUAGGAGAGCUGAUCAAAUUAUGGAAUGCGAAAAGCAUCUACGGGUUCUGAGUGAAAAAAUUAAGCAUGUGAGUGAGAGGAUGACUGGUGCCAUUGCAGAUAAACUUAGCAGGCUCCAAAGCGACAAUGGAAAUGUAGUGAAGAUGGUCAGUCAUUUGGAACAAGAGCAUAUCUCUCUAGAUUCCCUGAAAACACAUAUGCUUUUCUACUCUGAAAUACUGCAGAAGGCAAAGGAAGGAUACAUAUGCCUGAUAACAGACUUUGCCAGGCAACAAGAAGAAAUAAGAGAUCAACUGAUGCACCAGCUUGUAUUGGAAAAGCAAGAAAGGGAAACUCUGAAAAACUGGCUGAAGAAAGACAGAGACAAUCUGGAAAGAGAGAAAAAUGGCAUGAAUCAAGAAAAAGAAAACUUGUUGCAGAAACAACAAAAGUGUGAAACCCUAAAAGACGAGCUGAAGAAAGACAGAGACAAUCUGGAAAGGGAGAAAAAUAGCAUCCAUCUAGAAAAAAGGAACUUGAUGCAGAAACAACAAGAGUAUGAAACCCUAAAAGACGAGCUGAAGAAAGACAGAGACAAUCUGGAAAGGGAGAAAAAUAGCAUCCAUCUAGAAAAAAGGAACUUGAUGCAGAAACAACAAGAGUAUGAAACCCUAAAAGACGAGCUGAAAAAAGACAGAGACAGUCUGGAAAGACAGAAAAAUGGCAUGAAUCAAAUGAAAGAGGACUUGAUGCAGAAACAACAAGAAUAUGAAAUCCUGAAAGACGAGCUGAAGAAAGACAAAGGGAAUGUGGAAAGAGAUAAAAAUGGCAUGAAUCAAGUAAAAGAUUACUUGACGCAGAAAAUGUCCGACAUCCAGCAGCAAAUGCAAGUGUUGAAGCAAAGGUUAAAAUAUGAAAAGGACAGUCUGCAAAUCACAGCAAGUCGACUAGAAAAGACAAGAACACAUGCUGACAUCCUGUGUGUUGAGGUAAACAAACACAAAGCAAAAAAUCUGUCCCUUCAGCUUCACAAAACCAGAGACCUACUUGAGAAAGCUAAGAACACAAUUGUCAUAAAGCAAAAAGAACAACAACUGAUGGAAGAGGACAUCAAGAGACAAAUCAAAGAACUACAGUCAAGCCGGUAUGACUUGCAGAGCCAAAGACAAGAACUGGGACUUUUAAGGCAAGAUCUCAACAAUGAGAUAGAAGAGGUCCGGGCUGCAAAGGAGACCAUGAAGGUGAAAAGUGAUCAAAUAAGUCACAUGCAGACUGUCCUUGACACAGAGAGAGAAAUGCUUUGGAACCAGAAAGAUACAAUGGAAGAACAAAUAUUAAAUCUACAUAGGAGAGCUGAUCAAAUUAUGGAAUGCGAAAAGCAUCUACGGGUUCUGAGUGAAAAAAUUAAGCAUGUGAGUGAGAGGAUGACUGGUGCCAUUGCAGAUAAACUUAGCAGGCUCCAAAGCGACAAUGGAAAUGUAGUGAAGAUGGUCAGUCAUUUGGAACAAGAGCAUAUCUCUCUAGAUUCCCUGAAAACACAUAUGCUUUUCUACUCUGAAAUACUGCAGAAGGCAAAGGAAGGAUACAUAUGCCUGAUAACAGACUUUGCCAGGCAACAAGAAGAAAUAAGAGAUCAACUGAUGCACCAGCUUGUAUUGGAAAAGCAAGAAAGGGAAACUCUGAAAAACUGGCUGAAGAAAGACAGAGACAAUCUGGAAAGAGAGAAAAAUGGCAUGAAUCAAGAAAAAGAAAACUUGUUGCAGAAACAACAAGAGUGUGAAACCCUAAAAGACGAGCUGAAGAAAGACAGAGACAAUCUGGAAAGGGAGAAAAAUAGCAUCCAUCUAGAAAAAAGGAACUUGAUGCAGAAACAACAAGAGUAUGAAACCCUAAAAGACGAGCUGAAGAAAGACAGAGACAAUCUGGAAAGGGAGAAAAAUAGCAUCCAUCUAGAAAAAAGGAACUUGAUGCAGAAACAACAAGAGUAUGAAACCCUAAAAGACGAGCUGAAAAAAGACAGAGACAGUCUGGAAAGACAGAAAAAUGGCAUGAAUCAAAUGAAAGAGGACUUGAUGCAGAAACAACAAGAAUAUGAAAUCCUGAAAGACGAGCUGAAGAAAGACAAAGGGAAUGUGGAAAGAGAUAAAAAUGGCAUGAAUCAAGUAAAAGAUUACUUGACGCAGAAAAUGUCCGACAUCCAGCAGCAAAUGCAAGUGUUGAAGCAAAGGUUAAGAUAUGAAAAGGACAGUCUGCAAAUCACAGCAAGUCGACUAGAAAAGACAAGAACACAUGCUGACAUCCUGUGUGUUGAGGUUAACAAAGAUAAAGCAAAACAUCUGUCCCUUCAGCUUCACACAACCAGAGACCUACUUGAGAGAGCAAAUAACACAAUUGUCAUAAAGCAAAAAGAACAACAACUGAUGGAAGAGGACAUCAAGAGACAAAUCAAAGAACUACAGUCAAGCCGGUAUGACUUGCAGAGCCAAAGACAAGAACUGGGACUUUUAAGGCAAGAUCUCAACAAUGAGAUAGAAGAGGUCCGGGCUGCAAAGGAGACCAUGAAGGUGAAAAGUGAUCAAAUAAGUCACAUGCAGACUGUCCUUGACACAGAGAGAGAAAUGCUUUGGAACCAGAAAGAUACAAUGGAAGAACAAAUAUUGAAUCUACAUAGGAGAGCUGAUCAAAUUAUGGAAUGCGAAAAGCAUCUACGGGUUCUGAGUGAAAAAAUUAAGUAUGUGAGUGAGAGGAUGACUGGUGCCAUUGCAGAUAAACUUAGCAGGCUCCAAAGCGACAAUGGAAAUGUAGUGAAGAUGGUCAGUCAUUUGGAACAAGAGCAUAUCUCUCUAGAUUCCCUGAAAACACAUAUGCUUUUCUACUCUGAAAUACUGCAAAAGGCAAAGGAAGGAUACAUAUGCCUGAUAACAGACUUUGCCAGGCAACAAGAAGAAAUAAGAGAUCAACUGAUGCACCAGCUUGUAUUGGAAAAGCAAGAAAGGGAAACUCUGAAAAACUGGCUGAAGAAAGACAGAGACAAUCUGGAAAGAGAGAAAAAUGGCAUGAAUCAAGAAAAAGAAAACUUGUUGCAGAAACAACAAGAGUGUGAAACCCUAAAAGACGAGCUGAAGAAAGACAGAGACAAUCUGGAAAGGGAGAAAAAUAGCAUCCAUCUAGAAAAAGGAACUUGA
rnacentral:lncRNA from 1 species